rnacentral:rRNA from 1 species
UCAGGAAUCCGGCUGAGAGGUUGGAGUGCCCGAAAGGGAGCCUGAACACAGGUGCUGCAUGGCUGUCGUCAGCUCGUGUCGUGAGAUGUUGGGUUAAGUCCCGCAACGAGCGCAACCCUUGUCGUUAAUUGCCAUCAUUUAGUUGGGCACUUUAAUGAAACUGCCGGUGACAAACCGGAGGAAGGUGGGGAUGACGUCAAGUCCUCAUGGCCCUUAUGGGUAGGGCUUCACACGUCAUACAAUGGUCGGUACAGAGGGUUGCCAACCCGCGAGGGGGAGCUAAUCUCAGAAAGCCGAUCGUAGUCCGGAUCGCAGUCUGCAACUCGACUGCGUGAAGUCGGAAUCGCUAGUAAUCGCGGAUCAGCAUGUCGCGGUGAAUACGU